AUUGAACGCUGGCGGCAGGCUUAACACAUGCAAGUCGAGCGGGGUGAUGGUGCUUGCACUAUCACUUAGCGGCGGACGGGUGAGUAAUGCUUAGGAAUCUGCCUAUUAGUGGGGGACAACAUCUCGAAAGGGAUGCUAAUACCGCAUACGUCCUACGGGAGAAAGCAGGGGAUCACUUGUGACCUUGCGCUAAUAGAUGAGCCUAAGUCGGAUUAGCUAGUUGGUGGGGUAAAGGCCUACCAAGGCGACGAUCUGUAGCGGGUCUGAGAGGAUGCUCCGCCACACUGGGACUGGGAAACGGCCCAGACUCCUACGGGAGGCAGCAGUGGGGAAUAUUGGACAAUGGGGGGAACCCUGAUCCAGCCAUGCCGCGUGUGUGAAGAAGGCCUUAUGGUUGUAAAGCACUUUAAGCGAGGAGGAGGCUCUUUUGGUUAAUACCCAAGAUGAGUGGACGUUACUCGCAGAAUAAGCACCGGCUAACUCUGUGCCAGCCGCCGCAGUAA
rnacentral:rRNA from 1 species